rnacentral:lncRNA from 1 species
CAGUUUACUUAUUCACUGGCUUCGUCCUCACUAGGACUGAUUCCCAGGAGAGCAGGGAUCACGUUUAUCUUGCUCACUAUAGUAUGCCUGUGCCUAGGACAGACCUUAGCAGGUAACAAGUGCUCGGUUCAUCAUCACAUCAUCACCACCACCAUCACCAUCACCAUCAUCACCACCAUCAGCAUCAUCAUCAUCACCACCAUCAUCAUCACCUCCAUCAUCACCUCCAUCAUCAUCACCACCAUCACCAUCAUCAUCAUCACCUCCAUCAUCAUCACCACCACCAUCACCACCAGCAUCACUUCCAUCAUCACCUCCAUCAUCACCUCCAUCAUCACCACCAUCAUCACCACCAUCACCAUCAUCACCACCAUAAUCACAUCACCAUCAUCACCAUCAUCACCACCAUCACCAUCAAUCAUCAUCACCACCAUCAUCACCUCCAUCAUCACCUCCAUCAUCACCACCACCAUCACCAUCAUCAUCAUCACACCAUCACCAUCAAUCAUUAUCACCACCAUCAUCACCUCCAUCACCUCCAUCAUCAUCACCACCAUCACCAUCAACCACCAUCACCAUCAUCACCUCCAGCAUCAUCACCACCAUCACAUCAUCACCAUCAUCAUCGUCACCAUCACCAUCAUCACCAUCAUCACCAUCACCAUCACCUCCAUCAUCAUCACCACCAUCACCAUCAUCAUCACCACCAUCACCAUCAUCACCACCAUCACCAUCAUCACCACCAUCAGCAUCAUCACCACCAUCACCACCUCCAUCAUCAUCACCAUCAUCACCACCAUCACCAUCAUCAUCACCAGCAUCAUCACCUCCAUCACAUCACCAUCACCACCAUCACCAUCAAUCAUCAUCACCACCAUCAUCACCUCCAUCAUCACCUCCAUCAUCAUCACCACCAUCACCAUCAUCAUCAUCACCUCCAUUAUCACCUCCAUCAUCAUCACCAUCAUCACCACCGUCACCAUCAUCAUCACCAUCACUACCACCAUCACCAUCAUCAUCAUCACCAGCAUCAUCACCUCCAUCAUCACUUCCAUCAUCACCAUCAUCACCACCACCAUCACCUCCAUCAUCAUCAUCACCAUCAUCAUCAUCACCUCCAUCAUCACCUCCACCAUCACCACUAUCACCAUCAUCAUCAUCACCAUCAUCACCACCAUCACCAUCAAUCAUCAUCACCACCAUCAUCACCUCCAUCAUCACCACAUCACCAUCAUCAUCAUCACCACCACCAUCACCAUCACCAUCAAUCAUCACCAACCAUCACCAUCACCUCCAUCAUCAUCACCACAUCACCAUCAUCACACCAUCAUCACCACCACAUCACCAUCACCAUCCGAAUACCAGUAA